rnacentral:rRNA from 1 species
GACAGAGGAUGCAAGCGUUAUCCGGAAUGAUUGGGCGUAAAGCGUCUGUAGGUGGCUUUUAAGUCCGCCGUCAAAUCCCAGGGCUCAACCCUGGACAGGCGGUGGAAACUACCAAGCUGGAGUACGGUAGGGCAGAGGGAAUUUCCGUGGAGCGGUGAAAUGACGUAGAGAUCGGAAAGAACACCAACGGCGAAAGCACUCUGCGUGGCCGACACUGACACUGAGAGACGAAAGCUAG